GAAAUGCGAUAAGUAAUGUGAAUUGCAGAAUUCAGUGAAUCAUCGAAUCUUUGAACGCACAUUGCGCCCGCCAGUAUUCUGGCGGGCAUGCCUGUUCGAGCGUCAUUUCAACCAUCAAGCCCCGCGCUUGUGUUGGGGACCUGCGGCUGCCGCAGGCCCUGAAAACCAGUGGCGGGCUCGCUGUCACACCGGGCGUAGUAGAUUUUAUCUCGCUCAGGGCGUGCUGCGGGUUCCGGCCGUUAAAAAGCCUUUUUUACCCAAGGUUGACCUCGGAUCAGGUACAAAUACGCGCUGAAGAUAGGC
rnacentral:misc_RNA from 1 species